rnacentral:rRNA from 1 species
CCCUUAGAUGUUCUGGGCUGCACGCGCGCUACACUGAUGCGCUCAACGAGUUUUCGAACUUGCCCGGAAGGGUUGGUUAAUCUUUUUAAAACGCAUCGUGAUGGGGAUAGAUUAUUGCAAUUAUUAAUCUUCAACGAGGAAUUCCUAGUAAGCGCGAGUCAUCAGCUCGUGCUGAUUACGUCCCUGCCCUUUGUACACACCGCCCGCCGCUCCUACCGAUUGAGUGAUCCGGUGAAUAAUUCGGACUGCAGUCGUGUUCAGUUCCUGAACGUUGCAGCGGAAAGUUUAGUGAACCUUAUCACUUAGAGGAAGGAGAAGUCGUAACA